CCUACGGGAGGCAGCAGUGAGGAAUAUUGGUCAAUGGCCGAGAGUCUGAACCAGCCAAGUAGCGUGAAGGAUGACUGUCCUAUGGGUUGUAAACUUCUUUUAUCUGGGAAUAAAGUGUUCCACGUGUGGGAUUUUGUAUGUACCAUAUGCAUAAGGAUCGGCUAACUCCGUGCCAGCAGCCGCGGUAAUACGGAGGAUCCGAGCGUUAUCCGGCUUUAUUGGGUUUAAAGGGUGCGUAGGUGGUUUGUUAAGUCAGUUGUGAAAGUUUGCGGCGCAACCGUAAAAUUGCAGUUGAAACGGGCAGUCUGGAGUAGAGUAGAGGUGUGCGGAAUUCGUGGUGUAGCGGUGAAAUGCAUAGAUAUCACGAAGAACUCCGAUUGCGAAGGCAGUACACUGGACUGCAACUGACGCUGAGGCUCGAAAGUGUGGGUAUCGAACAGGAUUAGAUACCCGAGUAGUC
rnacentral:rRNA from 1 species